AUUGAACGCUGGCGGCAGGCCUAACACAUGCAAGUCGAACGGUAACAGGAAGACGCUUGCUUCUUUGCUGACGAGUGGCGGACGGGUGAGUAAUGUCUGGGAAACUGCCUGAUGGAGGGGGAUAACUACUGGAAACGGUAGCUAAUACCGCAUAACGUCGCAAGACCAAUGAGGGGGACCUUCGGGCCUCUUGCCAUCGGAUGUGCCCAGAUUGGAUUAGCUAGUAGGUGGGGUAACGGCUCACCGAGGCGACGAUCCCUAGCUGGUCUGAGAGGCUGACCAGCCACACUGGAACUGAGACACGGUCCAGACUCCUACGGGAGGCAGCAGUGGGGAAUAUUGCACAAUGGGCGCAAGCCUGAUGCAGCCAUGCCGCGUGUAUGAAGAAGGCCUUCGGGUUGUAAAGUACUUUCAGCGGGGAGGAAGGGAGUAAAGUUAAUACCUUUGCUCAUUGACGUUACCCGCAGAAGAAGCACCGGCUAACUACGUG
rnacentral:rRNA from 1 species